rnacentral:lncRNA from 1 species
GGUUCAUGUUACUGAUUAAUGUGGAAACAAGCUCCUAGGAUAAAGUCCCUGAUUGAAUCCAACGACUAUAUACUAUUUGGCAUUUUUCAUCUGUUUCAAUUAGGUUGCACUUUCUUCAGCCGCAUUGAACCAAACUGAUAACUGGUAGUGGUACCUGUUUGGGGCUGCAAAUAGCUCACAAGAGCAUAUUAAAGCUGCUGUUAGCAUAUUCGGAGGAGAUGUGUUUUGAGUUUUAAUGGUCAAAUAGUUGUCUAUUUGGAAUUAAAAUUGGU